UACGUAGGGAGCAAGCGUUGUCCGGAAUCAUUGGGCGUAAAGCGCGUGUAGGUGGCGGCCUAAGUACCUUGUGAAAUCCUGCGGCUCAACUGCAGAACUGCUUGGUAUACUGGGUCGCUUGAGCCAUCCAGGGGCAACUGGAACAAGCGGUGGAGCGGUGAAAUGCGUAGAUAUCGCUUGGAACGCCAAAGGUGAAAACAGGUUGCUGGGGAUGUGCUGACACUGAGACGCGAAAGCCAGGGGAGCGAACGGG
rnacentral:rRNA from 1 species